UAUGUUUUCACAGCCUCAGCCCCCCCCCCCACACACACACACACACAAACAAAGAGGCGUUAGGCUGAGACGCUGAAAGUCCGGAUUUAAAGUGCAGAAAAUUAAGCCAUUGAAUCUGCCUGUCCAUGACGUACAAAGACACACUAUGAGCCAGUAUGAUCCGACCAGACCUUACAUCAGCAUUGAGGAGUUGUCGGAGAAGAAAGAGGCUGAUUGAAGCGGGACAGACGACAUGGAUCCAUCCUUCCACAGCCAGGAGUGCACCGACCUGUGUCCCACACUUCAUAUAAGACUGGAAGCUACACUGGAUCUCACAGCUACACACCACAGACGUCUACACACUGGAGAAGAGUCCCACAAAGAAGUCAUGACCCAGAGGCUGCAGAGAAACAUUUCAAGCCUCACCUGAGAUUUUGUACAAUAUUUUUGCUGUAUGUAAAUAAAGCUUUCACUCCACAUA